GAGUUUGAUCCUGGCUCAGGAUGAACGCUGACAGAAUGCCUAACACAUGCAAGUCGACUGGAAUUCUUCUUCGGAAGAUAGUACGGUGGCGGACGGGUGAGUAACGCGUAAAGAAUUUGCCCUUCAGACUGGGACAACUAAUCGAAAGGUUAGCUAAUACCGGAUAUUAUGAGACCUUGGCAUCAAGGACUUAUGAAAGCUAUAUGCGCUGAAGGAGAACUUUGCGUUCCAUUAGGUAGUUGGUAGGGUAAUGGCCUACCAAGCCGACGAUGGAUAGCCGGCCUGAGAGGGUGAACGGCCACAAGGGGACUGAGACACGGCCCUUACUCCUACGGGAGGCAGCAGUGGGGAAUAUUGGACAAUGGACCAAAAGUCUGAUCCAGCAAUUCUGUGUGCACGAUGAAGGUCUUCGGAUUGUAAAGUGCUUUCAGGUGGGAAGAAGAAAGUGACGGUACCACCAGAAGAAGCGACGGCUAAAUACGUGCCAGCAGCCGCGGUAAUACGUAUGUCGCAAGCGUUAUCCGGAAUUAUUGGGCGUAAAGCGAGUCUAGGCGGCUUGUUAAGUCAGAUGUGAAAAUGCGGGGCUCAACUCCGUAUUGCGUUUGAAACUGGCAGGCUAGAGUACUGGAGAGGUGGGCGGAACUACAGUGUAGAGGUGAAAUUCGUAGAUAUUUGUAGGAAUGCCGAUAGUGAAGACAGCUCACUGGACAGAUACUGACGCUAAAGCUCGAAAGCGUGGGGAGCGAACAGGAUUAGAUACCCUGGUAGUCCACGCCGUAAACGAUGUUCACUGGGUGUAGGGGGUCGAACCUCUGUGCCGAAGCUAACGCGAUAAGUGAACCGCCUGGGGAGUACGCACGCAAGUGUGAAACUCAAAGGAAUUGACGG
rnacentral:rRNA from 1 species